rnacentral:misc_RNA from 1 species
ACACCUCAACUCUCAUGGCUUGCCAUGAUGAGCUUGGACUAUGGAGGUCUUGCUGGCCUGUGAGUCAGCUCCUCUCAAAUGAAUUAGCUUGCCGGUGUUUGGUGGCAUCCCAGGUGUGAUAACUAUCUACGCUUGUGGUUUUCCACCAGGUAACUUUCAGCAAUGGAGGUUCGCUGGAGCUCAUAAUUGUCUCUCCCUGGUGAGGACAUAUUUUGACC